AGAGAACGCUGGCGGCAGGCCUAAUACAUGCAAGUCGAACGGCAGCACAGCAGAGCUUGCUCUGUGGGUGGCGAGUGGCGGGACGGGGUGAGGAAUACGUGGGAAUCUGCCCAGUCGUGGGGGAUAACGUAGGGAAACUUACGCUAAUACCGCAUGCGCCCUUCGGGGGAAAGCCGGGGACCUUCGGGCCUGGCGCGAUUGGAUGAGCCCACGUCGGAUUAGCUAGUUGGCGGGGUAAAGGCCCACCAAGGCGACGAUCCGUAGCUGGUCUGAGAGGAUGAUCAGCCACACUGGAACUGAGACACGGUCCAGACUCCUACGGGAGCAGCAGUAGGGAAUAUUGGACAAUGGGCGCAAGCCUGAUCCAGCCAUGCCGCGUGAGUGAAGAAGGCCCUCGGGUUGUAAAGCUCUUUGUCCGGAAAGAAAGCGCCGGGUUAAUACCCUGGUGUCCU
rnacentral:rRNA from 1 species